UGGUCAAGUUAUUAAGGGUGCAGGGCGGAUGCCUUGGCACUAGGCGCCGAUGAAGGACGUGAUAAGCUGCGAUAAGCUUCGGGGAGUUGCACGUAAACUUUGAUCCGAAGAUUUCCGAAUGAGGAAACUCACUUAGAGUAAUGUCUAAGUAUCAUUAAGUGAAUACAUAGCU
rnacentral:rRNA from 1 species